GUCUACUUCACUCGAUUGACACAUGAAAGAAUUUUGAAACUACAUAAAUUUUCCGGGAAAAUUCACUACCUUUCAUUUUCGGGAAACCAAACAUAGCCGAUUCCGACCACCAUGUGGGUGCAGAUUCUUUGCGGUCCCCUAAUUUACAAACCGUUCAAGCGAAUCUUCUACGGCGACAACGUUUUGGACAUCGAAACCUCCGAUUCUAAUGCGAUUUUCUCAGUGGCAAAUAGAUUAGUAAGGCACACGUGGGGCUCCUAAUUCCGGAUCCGGAUACGGGUUCGUGACAGAAUAUAGAUAUUGUUCUUGUUACUAAAGGGGAGGCCGUGGUGGUUUCUGUGAAGAAUUUUUCAGGAUUUGUAUCAAUCAAUGGAGAUGGCAGCUGGGUUUGUGAAGGCUAGCAUGGGCACAGAUGACAGCAUUACCUGACCCUGUGGAGGAAGUUAAAAAACAAGCUUCUGUUCUUUUUAUUAACAAAGGGGAGUUGCCCUGUCAAAAGGAUAUUUCUUGUACAAAGUUAUGCUUCCUAAUCCAAAAUUUUGCUCCAUUUAUUCAAACAAUUUUCCACCCGCGGUUAUCACCUUUGAGCAGUGGACACUAUUGAAACCAGAACAAAAAAAUAUGCUGUCUGGCUGGCUUAAGGUGCCUUUAGUGGUGGAAAAAAAAGAGAUGCAGGAAUCUAUUAAUCAGCAACUCAAUUUCAUUCUCAGCACAGCUCCAAUCUGGGACAGGUUGGAAGUUAAAGGUAAUAAAUAUGUUCUAGGAGAAUUUCUCAAAUUUAAAGGGAAGCAAGAAGAUACAUAGACUUUGAGAUCUAUCAGAAGAUCUAAAAUGAGUUGUCUAGUCAUCCAAAAGACGAGUAUGUUUGGAUUAGUUAUAUAGCCAAGACACAAUAUGGUUGAUGAUGAUGAUGAAGAAGAUGCUCCGCAAAAGAACACUAACAUUGAUGAGCCAAAAUUAAUUGGUCUUCAUCCAGUUUCAAAUGAAAAGGUUCUUUUGAAGAAGGGUCCUUAUGGAUUCUAUGUACAGCUUGGUGAAGCUAGGAGGCCACUGCUUCCCAUGCAAGGCUGUUUCUUUUAGUACUGCAAAUACUUGUAUUGCCACUUUGUUGAUUGUAAUUCAUUAAACAAACGUAAAACUGGAUGGGAUAUAUCUUUUUUUUAGAUUAAGGAUGUGGACUCUAUUACACUUGAAGACGCGCUGGAGCUGCUGCGUUACCUUUAACAUUAGGAAACCAUCCAAAGGAUGGACAUCCAGUUAUAUUAAAGCAUACAAAGGCUGGAUUUUCUGUUUGACAUCGACGCACUAUAGCUUCUGUUCCAAAGAAUAUGGAAGCGAAGGACAUCACUCUAGAGAGGGCAUUGGAACUUUUGCCGAGUAAAGAUGUAAGAGAAUGUUUAAAAAUUCAUAAAUUAAUCUCUAAAAAGUUUCAAACUCCUAUGUACUUUAAAAUUACUAUAUGAUCGUAACAACUGUAAUAUGAUAUUUAUGUUUAUAAUUUGUUAUAUUGUGUUCAACUUUUG